rnacentral:rRNA from 1 species
CAAUAGCGUAUAUUAAAGUUGUUGCAGUUAAAAAGCUCGUAGUUGGAUUUCUGGUAUAAUGCGCCUGGCCCGCCGCAGCAAUGCGUGUGAGUGCCGGUGCGCGUUUGCCAUCCUUCUAGAAAACGUCUCUACCCCUAUGGGCGAUCGCGAUCUAGAUCUUUUACUUUGAAAAAAUUAGAGUGUUCAAAGCAGGCUUUUGCUGUGAAUACAUUAGCAUGGAAUAAUAAUCUAGGACUUCGGUUUUAUUUUGUUGGUUUCUAACACUGAAGUAAUGAUUGAUAGGAGUAAGUUUGGGGGGGUUGGCUAGUAUUGGCCGGCCAGAGGUGAAAUUCUUGGAUUCGGUCAAGACUAACUUAUGCGAAAGCAUUCACCAAGGAUGUCUUCUUUAAUCAAGAACGAAAGUUGGGGGAUCGAAGACGAUCAGAUACCAU